GCAUUAAUGGGGUAGUGGUAACCUGGGUCGUUGCCAUAUUGUGCAUCUUCGACCCGCCGGGGGUUCAAUUCCCCCUUAAUGCA